GGGCCCGCACAAGCGGUGGAGCAUGUGGUUUAAUUCGAUGCAACGCGAAGAACCUUACCAGGGCUUGACAUACUACAGAUCCUGUUGAAAAACAGGAGUGCCUUCGGGAAUGUAGAUACAGGUGGUGCAUGGCUGUCGUCAGCUCGUGUCGUGAGAUGUUGGGUUAAGUCCCGCAACGAGCGCAACCCACGUCUUUAGUUGCCAGCAUUUAGUUGGGCACUCUAGAGAGACUGCCGGUGAUAAACCGGAGGAAGGUGUGGAUGACGUCAAGUCAUCAUGCCCCUUACAUCCUGGGCUACACACGUACUACAAUGCUGCGGACAAAGGGCUGCAAGUUCGCGAGGACAAGCAAAUCCCAUAAACCGUGGCUCAGUUCAGAUCGUAGGCUGCAACUCGCCUACGUGAAGGCGGAAUCGCUAGUAAUCG
rnacentral:rRNA from 1 species